UUAGUUUGAUUCUGGCUAUCUUAUUAAUUUAUAGGGAUAUAUACAUGUAAAUUUUAUUUAUAAAUUUGUUUUUUGCAGUAUUUAAUAUUAAAUAUAUAAUUACUUAUGAUUUGGAUAUUCUAUUUAUUAUUGUAAAAUUUUGUGCCAGCAUACGCGGUUAUACAAUAAAUAUGAAUUAAUAUUAUUGGUUUAAUUGGAGUUAAAUUGUAUUUUGAAUUUAUUUUUUAAGUUUUUAGGUUAAAUUUAUAAUUUAAUUUAAUUUUUUUUUGGUUCUUCUAAAUUUAAUUAGUAAACUAGGAUUAGAUACCCUAUUAUUUUAUAUGUAAAUUGUUACCUGGGUAGUAUUAGUUAUUUUCUUUAAACCUAAAGAAUUUGGCGGUAUUUUAGUCUAUUUAGAGGAAUUUGUCCCAUGAUCGAUAUUCCCCGUUUUAUCUUUCUUAUUUUUGUUUAUCAGUAUGUAUAUCGCUGUUAUAAGUUUAUUUUUUUAGAUUAUUAAUUUACUUAAUUUUUUAUAUUAAAUUAUUUCAAGUCAAGGUGCAGCUAAUAAAUAAGUGGAGAUGAGUUACAAUAUUUUAUAUUUGGAUUGUAAUUUUUAAAAUGUUAAUGAAAUUGGAUUUAAUAGUAAUUUUUUUGAUAAUAUUAAUUUGAUAUUAGCUCUAAAAUAAGUACAUAUCGCCCGUCACUCUCAAUUUAUUUGAGAUAAGUCGUAACAAAGUAGAUGUACUGGAAAGUGUAUCUAGUUAGUUUAUUAAA
rnacentral:ncRNA from 1 species